ensembl:lncRNA
AGUGCAGAGUGACACAGACAGGCGACAGCAUCGCUGAGCACUAACUUCUAUUCCACGGAGGCAGACAGCGAAAACCAUUUCAGAACCACGCCAAGGCAUGAGAGAAGCACAGGGUAGCUGCAAAGUUUUGGACAAGACCUCUGCAACAACUGGAAGCACAGUGUACCCAAGUGGCCAGGAGCAGUGGCUCACACCUGUAAUCCCAACACACUGGAAAGCCGAAGUGGGCAGUUCACUUGAGCCCAAAUGCUAGAGACCAGCCUGGGCAACAUGGAGAAACCCCGUCUCUACCAAAAAUGACACACACAAAAAUUAGCAGGGCGUGGUGGUGAACACCUGUAGUCCUAGCUACUGGGAAGGCUGAAGUGGGAGGAUGGCUUCAGCCAGGAAGGUGGAGGUUACAGUGAGCCAUGAUCACACCACUGCCCUCCAGACUCGGGGACUGAGCAAGACUCUUCAAAAAUACAUAUAUUUCUCCAAAAGUGAGUAAUUAAAGAAUUUUCAAUGUUUGCAAAGUUUAAAAGCCUAGUAUGAAUGCAAAAUCUAGGUAAUAGAAAUUUUGCAUGGGAAUUAUCAUUUCUCAGCACUUUCUUAAUAUUCCUCAAAUGCAAUUUAAAAGCAAUAGGCAACAACUGGCAUAUCCCUUCAAAUGCUAAGAUAUUUAUGUUUCCAGAAUGUAUUGUCUAAAAAUUUGAGAGACUGUGUGAGUCUGAUAAGCUGGGCUGUAUCCCAUUCUGGAAUAUCAAUGUACAUAUUGCAGUGAAAAACUUAUUGAAAUAAUGAAAUUGGCUCUCAAACAGAUUUCCAUGAUUUGGAAUCCAACAUUUACUUUUAUCAUCUUCAAUGAAAGAAAUUGCACCAAUGAUAUUUUAGUCUUGAUGAUGUUGGGAGCCCCUGCAUAAAUAAAGCACUUGCACAAUUAAAAUGGAGGCUUUAUUUUUAUUUAUUAUUAUUUUUGGGACAGAGUCUCGCUCUUGUUGCCCAGGCUGGAGUGCAAUGGCACCAUCUUUGCUCACUGCAACCUCCGCCUUCCGGGUUCAAGAGAUUCUCCUGUCUCAGUCUGCCAAGUAGCUGAGAUUACAGGCAUGCGCCACCACGCCAGGCUAAUUUUUGUAUUUUCAGUAGAGGUGGGUUUUCCCCAUGUUGGCUAGGCUGAUCUCGAGCGCCUGCAUCAAGUGAUCCGUCCGCCUCGGCCUUCCAAAAGUGCUGGGAUUCCAGGCGUAAGCCACCGCGCCCGGCGGAAAGUUUUAUUUUUAAAGGUGUUAGAAUGAUUGGUUUUUAAUCAGAGACUACUCACGAAGUUGGCCGAAAUAUUACUCUGAAACCUUUUUUUUUUUUUAAAUGCAUCAGAAUCCGAGGCUUUUGGCAGGGCACAGUGGCUCACGCCUGUAUCCCAGCACUUUUGGAGGCUGAGGUGGGCAGCUGCUCGGAAAGCUAAGGCAGGAGAAUCUCUUGAACCUGGGAGGCAGAGGUUGCAGUGAACCGAGAUCACGCCACUGCACUCCAGCCUAGCGACAGAGCUAGACUCCGUUUCAAAAAAAAUAAAAAUAAAAA